GGAGAGAUGGCCGAGCUGGCUGAAGGCACAUGCCUGCUAAGCAUGUGAACUCGUAAGGGUUCCGUGGGUUCGAAUCCCACUCUCUCCGCCA
rnacentral:tRNA from 1 species